AUUAAACGCUGGCGGCAUGCCUUACACAUGCAAGUCGAACGGCAGCACGGGGGCAACCCUGGUGGCGAGUGGCGGACGGGUGAGUAAAGCAUCGGAACGUAUCCUGGAGUGGGGGGAUAACGUAGCGAAAGUUACGCUAAUACCGCAUAUUCUGUGAGCAGGAAAGCAGGGGAUCGCAAGACCUUGCGCUCUGGGAGCGGCCGAUGUCGGAUUAGCUAGUUGGUGGGGUAAAGGCCUACCAAGGCGACGAUCCGUAGCGGGUCUGAGAGGAUGAUCCGCCACACUGGGACUGAGACACGGCCCAGACUCCUACGGGAGGCAGCAGUGGGGAAUUUUGGACAAUGGGCGCAAGCCUGAUCCAGCCAUGCCGCGUGAGUGAAGAAGGCCUUCGGGUUGUAAAGCUCUUUCGGCGGGGAAGAAAUUGCACGGGUUAAUACCCGUGUGUAGAUGACGGUA
rnacentral:rRNA from 1 species